UUUUACAUGUACCCAGUAAAUAUUUUUGAGUUUUCAAUUUUGAUUCUCACAAGCUUACAAUUUGUUUACAAUUUACUCUUCCUCUGGCUCUGCCGUGCUGCACGGCAGAGUUGAUCGGAAUUGUAACAAAUACGCGUACACUUAAUUGGCUUCCUGAAUUUAGUCAAUCAGAUGCGUUAUAUUACUCGUUUCAAUUUCAUGUUUAUGCUCGAAACUGCUCAUGUUUACAAUAGCAAUUCCAACAAUCUUGCCCUCCUUUUCGACUUUGAGGCGUUGGUGUUGAUUUAGGCUAUACGCAAAAUUCAAAACUCAAAAAUAUUUACUGGUCUGGGUAAAU